AAUCAGUAACACUUUGUCUGCAAUCCAUACCAACCACUUCUCUCAUCCAACCCCUGUGACUUCUAUGGAUCAGGAAUGGUGUGGUCAGCAGGUAGGAGCCGACGGAGAGCCCCAUGUGAGAGGAGGUGUAUUGGAGGCGGAGGAUCGUUGGUGCAACCUAACCGAAGGUGGUACAAAAGUGGACGAAUCCAAGAGAUUGGGGAUUGAGCCGAAUGGAGAGGGCUUUCAAGCAGGUAUGAAAACACGAUCGCUGAAGGAAAGUGGUCUAGAAUCUGAAGAACUACAUCUGUUAGGGUCAGUAGCUGGAAAUUAUUGCUUGUUUUUUAACUAUUUCCCAGAUCCCAAAUCAACUAACCUGAGCGAUGUUCUAGUCCCACGUCCCAAGAAUGAUAGUGUCAUCCUCAGUCCCAACUCUCCAUGAUACAGGAACAUGAUCAAAUAUUGCCACAACUGGAUGUAUCCUGAGAGUGCUGUUGAGAAUGCAACUGUAAGACUGCUUCCACCAGAUGUCUUUUUAAUUUGUGGAGAUAGAGCAUGGCCUGCAAUUCCACAAAACCCCUUUUGUGGACCACGUUUCUUGGGAAAGCAAACUAUGUUUGUUCCUAGCAUGUGUGAAAGGCUGAACCAGACCCUUUGGAGAGCAUGACAUAGCAGGAGAGCUAAAAGAGAAAUUGGGGGUCUGGAACCUGACUGUCACGACCGUGUGGAGUUUUGGGCUGCUCCGACAAAAAUAAUAGCAUUAAUUUUUUCUCCAGGUAUUGCUGCUGCGCAAGCAUUGUCUACACUUAACAAGCUGGGAUGCUGGGUGAAUCAACAGCUGAAUCUGGCUUCUAAUGUUUUGAAGCAAAUGCUCACUGAUGUAGAUAGUAUUAGACACGGCACACUACAAAAUAGAGCUGCUUUAGAUUUCUCGUUAAAACACGGGCACAGUGUGAGGAUUGUGAUGGGGUGUGUUGUAGGAAUCUUUCCAAUCAUUCUGCCUCCAUCCAUGAGGAUAUUACAAAAUCCCAAGAUAACCUGAAGAAAUUGGCUGUGAAGGACUGGAGUUCAGAUGGGUGGCUGGAAGAAUGGGAAAUAACAGAAUGGUUGAAACAAAUAAUCAAAUGGAGUUGGGUAUUCUUGUUGAUUUUCUUUGCAAUAUUUUCUCCAUAUUAAAACUUAUAAUUUGCUUGAUAAGUUAAGAUAACCUAAUGUAUUGCUCUGUUGAUGUACUGCUGUUUUCAUAUCAAAGUUAAUGAUUUCCUUGUUAAAAUAAGUUAAAAUAAGUUUGUUAAAGUAAGUUAAAAUGUGUUAAGUGUUUUUCUGUAUUAAAAUUAAUAAUUUAAUUCCUAAGUUAAGAUCUGAAUGAAAAUUCUGAUGGUGCAAAAAGAAAAAAAAGGGGAAUUAUAGUAAGAUUGGAAAAGUCUGGGCCUUGGACAUGUCUAAGUCCAGGCCAUGGUUCGGGUGGUGUGCACCAGCCAAACUAUAUUUAGUUACUGUUGUUCAUAUUUUGUUGUUUAGAUGCUUUUCUCUGUACUCUGCUGUCCUUUCCCAUGCUUGGCUGUUUUUGUGUAUUUCUUAGUUUAGAACUAUGUUUAUAACAGAUGAAAAGGGGAGCCAGCUUUGGGGAUUUUUCUGUAACUUGUUUUGAGACCCUUCAAGGUUGCUGAAACAUAAACUGUGCUAAAAUGAGAAAGAAAGGAAUGAAAAACAGGAUGCUGAGAUGAGAAGACCUGAGAUAAAGGUGGGCGGCAAAGACAUCGACAAGUGACCAAUCAGCAAACCUGGAGGGCCUUGUGCAAGAUACGUGGACAAGAGGAUUCUCCAAUCAAAUAAUGCGUGAUCACAUGGAC
rnacentral:lncRNA from 1 species